UACGUAGGGACCUAGCGUUGUCCGGAAUCAUUGGGCGUAAAGCGCGCGUAGGCGGCCCGGUAAGUCCGUUGUAAAAGUCGAAGGCUCAACCUUCGAAAGCCGAUGGAUACUGCCGGGCUAGAGUACGGAAGAGGCGAGUAGAAUUCCUGGUGUAGCGGUGGAAUGCGCAGAUAUCAGGAGGAACACCGGUGGCGAAGGCGGGAUCCUGGGCCAGUACUGACGCUGAGGAGCGAAAGCGUGGGGAGCAAACAGG
rnacentral:rRNA from 1 species